UACGAAGGGAGCUAGCGUUGUUCGGAAUCACUGGGCGUAAAGCGCACGUAGGCGGAUGUGUCAGUCAGGGGUGAAAUCCCGGAGCUCAACUUCGGAACUGCCUUUGAUACAGCACGUCUUGAGUCCGAUAGAGGUGGGUGGAAUUCCUAGUGUAGAGGUGAAAUUCGUAGAUAUUAGGAAGAACACCGGUGGCGAAAGCGGCCCACUGGAUCGGUACUGACGCUGAGGUGCGAAAGCGUGGGGAGCAAACAGG
rnacentral:rRNA from 1 species